GUGUAGCUCAAGUGGUAGAGUGUGUGCUUAGCAUGCACGAGGUCCUGGGUUUAAUCCCCAGCAC
rnacentral:tRNA from 1 species